UUCUAGAAGUGUGGGUACAAGGUUUCCGUAGGUGAACCUGCGGAAGGA
rnacentral:rRNA from 1 species